CAUGAGUUAGUGCCCGACUAGGAGAGAUGUGUCUCGAAAUUUGUACUUGAAUAUAUGAAGCAUAGGGCUGCUAUUUCACCUGCAGAUCUUAGAAAUGCACCCGAUCAAGGCUUCAACGACAUAUGCUACACUUUUACUUCUCAUCUAUCGCAAUGUAAACUUUGCUAGAUGCAGAUAAUUCGUCUUCUACUAAUCUAUGCCGGGUAUCAUCCACGUCAUGAGAUCAAACGGCUGAAAUGCAUAACUCAACUCAUCAAGAUACAUCUCUCCCAAAUAAAGGAAAGAAAACUCAACGAGCAAGAAUAUUUC
rnacentral:lncRNA from 1 species